AGCCUGGCUGCACCUCUCCUAGACCCCAUUUAAGGGGUCUCUUUCUGGAGAUCUCUCCUUUUGGAGUUUUCUACUGAGAGCCUUGGACAUGGGAGAGAAAAGUCUUUCUGUUCUUUAGUGAGCACCAAAAUAACAAUUGCUUCAAGUGAAUCACCUCUUUCUACACCUUUGAUACAUGAAAAAGUCCACAACAUUCUGUAUGUCAGAUGUCCCCCUGUGUUUUUACCUGCUGAACCAGGGAACUCUGCCUUUGAAGGUGCAGGAGCUUCCUCAUGCAGCUGAGGGGUGUGGCUGCUCACAGCAGAGCAGAGGCACACCUGAGUCCCGAGUGCCCCUAAAUGGAAGCAGAGGGCCACUCUCAGUAGCUAUGAACACUUGUGAAACUGUAAAGCAGAGGUUUGUGUCAUCUAAUGAGUCUCAAGCGAUCUUAAUUGGCAGUUUUGAGAUGUUGCUGUCUCAAAGAUGCAUCUGACUAUGCGCAGGUGCUGUAUUCACACACAGCUGCUUUUGGGGGCUGUGUCCAUCUAAGAAGUAUUUCUCAGCGGUGAUUGUAGCAGGGAAAUGGCUGUGGGCUGCCUCACACAGUCCCUGCACGCCCUGGAGCUCACAGCCAAGCCCCUUUGGCAGCAAUGACACUGAGCUGCAGACGUGAUUCCAGAUGCAGCAAUGGGACCAUGUGGGAAGCGGGACGCUUGGUGCCAGCUGGGUUGGGAAGAGCUGCUCUUGCCACGAAUGCUGCAUAAAGAUUUUGGGGUCACUGUGUCAACUGCACCUGUCAACACACCUCUGUGAAAGUGAUACCAGCACAUUCACAGCUUCAGAGGCAGCCUCAUAAAUUGCUGUGCUCAGCUCAGCAAGUUAUAGGUGUUACUGCACGGACUUCUAAUGAGGUAUCUUAUGGAAAUGCAUCAGAGAAUGAGUUGGACCCACUAUCAGAGCAGUCCAUCGAGGACAGAAAGUGCUGCCCUCUGACAUCAAAUAAACAGCACCUGCACAACUGUUCGUAUUCACAGAUGAGUCCAUUUUAAACUCAUUCCAAGAAAGCUGAAUUUGAUAGUUCAAGAGCUAAUUUAAUGUUGUUCAUGAUCAUCUAGCACUGGACGUUAAAAGAAGACUGAAAAUACAUGAUAACACUGGCAAGCGAAUGCUGAAAUCUCAUAGAUUUUGCAAGACUGGAGAGGGAUCACAGUAAUAAUUCUUCAAAAGGCUGACAGGAGAAUUAACAAUCUUUUUUCUUGUCUUGAUUAGAAAGUAAACAUAAUUUACAAAAUAAAGUGUACGGAAAAGAUCCAGACUGCUGUCACACCAUAAUUGAGGUUUAACCUUUAAUAUCACAAUGCAAAAGUUUACCUUGGCAGUAAAGUCGUCAUCAUUAGGUUACACAGUGCAAAGCAACUUGUACAUCUUCAGCAUAACACAUGAGAAAAGAACGUGUAGAGUCACUGCUAGGUUUCUGAGCAGUAAAUGCCAUGCGGUGCUGCCAGAAGGGCUCCACCAACAUCACAUGUGUUGUAGGCAUACACACUGAGGGCUGGAUAACUGAGAAAGAAUCAGAAAAUUGGGAUAAUUGCUAGCUUUCAUGAGGCAGAUUAUAUUUCAGAAAGGAUAAAGGGAAAAAAAGAAAAAACCUACUUAAGUAAAACUAGUAAUUUUUUUCUGGACUUUGGGCAGGCAUGCAAGUAUGCACCAUGUCCCGUAGAUCUCUCCUAUUAUUAAUGCAUUCCAAAUUUGUUUAUAAGGACUUUACUGAGCUUAUGUACACAUAAGAGAUAAGUUAAAUACCAGGAAUAGAGAUGGUAUGUCUAACUGUGCAAAAAUAAUUAGUCUAGAGCAUGAACCCUGUUUUCUGUCAGCUCGAUGGCUGUGACACGAGCAGGGUGUUGGAGCUGCUCCAUACUAUUCAUCACUGCUGGGCAAUGUCACACAUUUUACUUUUCAGAUUUUUACAUUCACAUUUCCUCAUGUGUGGUGACACAGUGUCAGUACAGAAGGAGCAGUUUGGGUUAUUCUAUAAGUGAUCUGAGCACCAGAAGAAAUAAGACACACUGCUAGAACAGCUUCAUCAAAGCACACCUGAUAACUGAAUGCAUUGCCUUCAAAAGAUAGCUAUCCCUGAGUGAU